rnacentral:lncRNA from 1 species
GGCUGGGCGGGUGGGGACUGCCCUCUGGAUGGCAUGAGUAGGCAUCAGCUUGGAGUGGGAGAAACUAUGAGUCACUUGGUUGUUUUCAGUAAGUGGCAGGGAGUUUAAAAAGAGAACGGAUAGCUACAUUCCAAAUCGCAAAAAAUGUAAAAAAUCAUAUGGGCAUGAAUAACAUUCAGCCACAAAUAUUUAUGAAGCUUCUGCUGUGUGCCAGACAAAAUGGCUGGGUAUUAGGACUAUGACAGUGAAGAUAACACAGCCCUUGCUCUCAAGGAUUUACAGUUGAUGAGAAAGGCAGACAAAUCCAGGAGGCAUUAUAAUCCACCAUGACAGCUGCUGAGCUCUUCUGUGGGAAUUUGCAGCAGUGGCACCCACAUAUGUGGGCAUUUGGAGAAAGUGGGGAAAGCUUCCAGGAGGAAAUGAUGUCUUAACUGGGACAGAAGCAAGAAGAGUCAGCCAGGUAAGGGUGGACAGGUCAGGGUCGGGAGGGGGUGUUUCAAGGCCAAGCGGAUGGCCUGGGACCACCAAGAGACAGAGAGAGCUUGGUGGGAUGGUGCCAUUUGGCUGAGACUUACCUGGGGACAGAGGUGAGUGAUGUUGAAAGAUAUACUUCAAAACAUCAUGCUGGCUUGUAAUCCCAGCACUCUGGGAGGCUGAGGCGGGCAGAUCACGAGGUCAGGAGAUCGAGACCAUCCUGGCUAACACGGUGAAACCCCGCCUCUACUAAAAAUACAAAAACAUAGCGGGCGUGGUGGCGGGCGCCUGUAGUCCCAGCUACUCGGGAG